rnacentral:lncRNA from 1 species
CACGAUACACAAGCAUGAAUUCCCUCACUAUCGUUGAGGUAUCACUCGGCCACUCGCCAAAAUUUGGCGAUCGCUCAGCUAUCCACACAACAGGGACGCUACUACCACCACUCGAUCGCUCGGAACAUUGUCCGAAAUUCUCAAACCACAAGGUUGUCCUCAACAUCUCGAGCACAUUGCCCAGAGAGUUAGUCCACUAGUUCUAUCUCUGUAUCGAGCCCAACCCUUGACUCGCAACCAGCCAGUCGCCGGCACAACCCAAUCACACCUAUUGUCACGACCCGCGACCACCCGACUAUUUGGCCGAGGUCGCGGCGCCGCCGACAGACCGCCGAACGGACAGAGUCUCCCCUGUACGUCCUAGGCGUCGCAAUCAAUACAAGUACAAGAAGUUCCAACCAGGAACAGUAUUCAAGCAAGAUUGCAUAAGGAAGGUAUCAAACAACAUAACACAUCCUAUGUUAUUACAAGCAUUCCCAUUAGAUUCAUUUUUACAUCACAUUAGCAUUAUUACAUUACAUUUUCUUCCAAAUACAAUCAAUGAUCGCAAUAUUAUUACAAGUUUGCUCUUUUUCUUUUCCCUCUACCCCUAGGCUAUGCCGACUCGGGGUACCUCUAUCUCUGGUCUCUGGGGUAGGGCGCUAUCUAUGGAGCUACGCCCUCGCCUUGCGCCGCCGCGCCGCUCACGUGCGAACCUGUAACACCCCAAAACAACGUGGGGUGAGAACCAACUCCAUGGUUCCCAGUGGGUACGGCCACCCAAGGGAAAAGCUCGACCAAUAGGUCUAAGGAGGCCCUGCAACAUGUUAGUCCAACAGAUAUCCAACAGAUAUAUAUAUUCAAGUAUUGAAAUACAUGUUGUGCCUCACAAAAUGCAAUAUGAAAUUCAUGCAGUUUAUGCAACCAUGCAACCAACUAGUAGUUCAAUCGAUACUACUUUUAUUCCUGUUAUUCACAGUUCAACCAAUUGACUUCUAAGUUUUCCUCUAUCUUAGAUUCUUGUCAAUUACAAUUCUGCUCAUAGGGUUUAACCUGCUUUUAUAAGCUAUCCACUCGACUCGGUCUUGAGUCAAUCACACGCGGAAUACCGCACAAAGCCAGGCUCAAGGUGAAGGAUGUCUCACAUGCACCUCAGCCCUAAAUCCACUCAACUGGGAUGCAACUAAAACUCAUACCAUGCAUCAAAUAGUAAAGGUUUACUAUCAUGCUAACAAAUUCGAUCCAUGUUCGAAUAAUAAUGUUCAAUGACAUUGUUCACUGUUCUUUUACCCAAUCUGUAGCGAAGCCCUAGGGUUCGCCAAUAACUCACCUUUCAAUCCCAAAGUGGGGAGGGAGCUCCAAGUGCACCCAAGCCCGGGACCGUCUGCGGACCUCCAUGUGGUCCGGACCUCCAAGUGGUCCUAGUCGCACGACACUCCAGAGUACUCGACGACAAUCCCCUCCAUGUAGGGAUAUGGAUGGCUAUACCACCCCAAAAGCAGACUGUGAGCUAGAUCUAUCCUCUCCAAGUGAGGAUACCCUAUAACUAGGGUCAACAACCCAAUCAAAUCCUCUCCAAGUGAGGAUGCUCUACAACUAGAGUCAACGACCCAAUCAAAUCCUCUCCAAGUGAGGAUGCCCUACAACUAGGGUCAACAUCUCAAUAACUCAUCGACAACCUCUCCAUGUGAGGGUACUUAGGUUUACUAAGUUCUUUAUCCACAAGGCAUUUUCUAAGGGAUUCACCUAUCUCUAGGUUCUCAAACCUCUAGUGUCAAAUACACUACAUUAAUGCCACUCGAUAUGUUCUUGCUUUCCAAUGUCAAUUUCUCUAAUCGACCAAGUUCAACAUGCAUAAUUCAUCUACUAUAUUCCACAAUAUGGCAACAUGUAUAAUUCUUCUAUC